rnacentral:rRNA from 1 species
AUUGCCCCAGUAACGGCGAGUGAAGCGGCAACAGCUCAAAUUUGAAAUCUGGCCCCUAGGGCCCGAGUUGUAAUUUGCAGAGGAUGCUUUUGGCGAGGCGCCUUCCGAGUUCCCUGGAACGGGACGCCAUAGAGGGUGAGAGCCCCGUCUGGUUGGAUGCCGAGCCUCUGUAAAGCUCCUUCGACGAGUCGAGUAGUUUGGGAAUGCUGCUCUAAAUGGGAGGUAUAUGUCUUCUAAAGCUAAAUACCGGCCAGAGACCGAUAGCGCACAAGUAGAGUGAUCGAAAGAUGAAAAGCACUUUGAAAAGAGGGUUAAAUAGUACGUGAAAUUGUUGAAAGGGAAGCGCUUGUGACCAGACUUGGGCCCGGUGAAUCAUCCAGCGUUCUCGCUGGUGCACUUUGCCGGGCUCAGGCCAGCAUCAGUUUGCCCCGGGGGAUAAAGGCUUUGGGAAUGUGGCUCCCUCGGGAGUGUUAUAGCCCAUUGCACAAUACCCUGGGGCGGACUGAGGUUCGCGCAUCUGCAAGGAUGCUGGCGUAAUGGUCAUCAGCGACCCGUCUUGAAACACGGACCAAGGAGUCGUCUUCGUAUGCGAGUGUUCGGGUGUAAAACCCCUACGCGUAAUGAAAGUGAACGCAGGUGAGAGCUUCGGCGCAUCAUCGACCGAUCCUGAUGUUCUCGGAUGGAUUUGAGUAAGAGCAUACGGGGCCGGACCCGAAAGAAGGUGAACUAUGCCUGUAUAGGGUGAAGCCAGAGGAAACUCUGGUGGAGGCUCGCAGCGGUUCUGACGUGCAAAUCGAUCGUCAAAUAUGGGCAUGGGGGCGAAAGACUAAUCGA